rnacentral:tRNA from 14 species
UGUUGCAGCGGUAGAAUGCAAGCCUUCCAACCUUGAGAUGCAAGUUCGAUUCCGG